rnacentral:pre_miRNA from 1 species
ACGGUUACCUGAAUGAUUUACACUACUUCAUCCGUCCCCUAUUAUAAGACCCUUUAUUGUCAGACAGUAAUGAGUCUUAUAAUAAGGGACGGAGGGAGUAUUAUUUUUAACACCGU